rnacentral:misc_RNA from 1 species
GAUGAAGAACGUAGCGAAAUGCGAUAAGUAAUGUGAAUUGCAGAAUUCAGUGAAUCAUCGAAUCUUUGAACGCACAUUGCGCCCGCCAGUAUUCUGGCGGGCAUGCCUGUUCGAGCGUCAUUUCAACCAUCAAGCCCCAGGCUUGUGUUGGGGACCUGCGGCUGCCGCAGGCCCUGAAAACCAGUGGCGGGCUCGCUGUCACACCGGGCGUAGUAGAUUUUAUCUCGCUCUGGGCGUGCUGCGGGUUCCGGCCGUUAAAAAACCCUUUUAACCCAAGGUUGACCUCGGAUCAGGUAGGAAUACCCGCUGAACUUAAGCAUAUCAAUAAGAGGAGGA